rnacentral:rRNA from 1 species
CACCCUUUGGGGUGUGACUGCGUACCUUUUGUAUAAUGGGUCAGCGACUUAUAUUCUGUAGCAAGGUUAACCGUAUAGGGGAGCCGGAGGGAAACCGAGUCUUAAUUGGGCGUUAAGUUGCAGGGUAUAGACCCGAAACCCGGUGAUCUAGCCAUGGGCAGGUUGAAGGUUGGGUAACACUAACUGGAGGACCGAACCGACUAAUGUUGAAAAAUUAGCGGAUGACCUGUGGCUGGGGGUGAAAGGCCAAUCAAACCGGGAGAUAGCUGGUUCUCCCCGAAAGCUAUUUAGGUAGCGCCUCGUGAAUUCAUCUCCGGGGGUAGAGCACUGUUUCGGCUAGGGGGCCAUCCCGGCUUACCAACCCGAUGCAAACUGCGAAUACCGGAGAAUGUUAUCACGGGAGACACACGGCGGGUGCUAACGUCCGUCGUGAAGAGGGAAACAACCCAGACCGCCAGCUAAGGUCCCAAAGUCAUGGUUAAGUGGGAAACGAUGUGGGAAGGCCCAGACAGCCAGGAUGUUGGCUUAGAAGCAGCCAUCAUUUAAAGAAAGCGUAAUAGCUCACUGGUCGAGUCGGCCUGCGCGGAAGAUGUAACGGGGCUAAACCAUGCACCGAAGCUGCGGCAGCGACGCUGAUGCGUUGUUGGGUAGGGGAGCGUUCUGUAAGCCUGCGAAGGUGGCCUGUGAGGGUUGCUGGAGGUAUCAGAAGUGCGAAUGCUGACAUAAGUAACGAUAAAGCGGGUGAAAAGCCCGCUCGCCGGAAGACCAAGGGUUCCUGUCCAACGUUAAUCGGGGCAGGGUGAGUCGACCCCUAAGGCGAGGCCGAAAGGCGUAGUCGAUGGGAAACGGGUUAAUAUUCCCGUACUUGGUGUUACUGCGAAGGGGGGACGGAGAAGGCUAUGUUGGCCGGGCGACGGUUGUCCCGGUUUAAGCGUGUAGGUGUGUGUUCCAGGUAAAUCCGGUUCACUUUAACACUGAGGCGUGAUGACGAGGCACUACGGUGCUGAAGCAACAAAUGCCCUGCUUCCAGGAAAAGCCUCUAAGCAUCAGGUAACAUCAAAUCGUACCCCAAACCGACACAGGUGGUCAGGUAGAGAAUACCAAGGCGCUUGAGAGAACUCGGGUGAAGGAACUAGGCAAAAUGGUGCCGUAACUUCGGGAGAAGGCACGCUGACAC